rnacentral:rRNA from 1 species
CAGUAGCCGCGGUAAUACGAAGGGUGCAAGCGUUAAUCGGAAUUACUGGGCGUAAAGGGUGCGUAGGCGGUUGUUUAAGUCUGUUGUGAAAUCCCCGGGCUCAACCUGGGAACUGCAUUUGAAACUGGCAAGCUAGAGUCUUGUAGAGGGGGGUAGAAUUCCAGGUGUAGCGGUGAAAUGCGUAGAGAUCUGGAGGAAUACCGGUGGCGAAGGCGGCCCCCUGGACAAAGACUGACGCUCAGGUGCGAAAGCGUGGGGAGCAAACAGGAUUAGAUACCCCAGUAGUCCCUGUCUCUUAUAC